rnacentral:rRNA from 1 species
CGUGUAGGCGGUUUGUUAAGUCUGAUGUGAAAGCCCCGGGCUCAACCUGGGAAGUGCAUUGGAUACUGGCAGACUUGAAUACGGGAGAGGGUAGUGGAAUUCCUGGUGUAGGAGUGAAAUCCGUAGAUAUCAGGAGGAACACCGGUGGCGAAGGCGGCUACCUGGACCGAUAUUGACGCUGAGACGCGAAAGCGUGGGGAGCAAACAGGAUUAGAUACCCUGGUAGUCCACGCCGUAAACGAUGAGUACUAGGUGUUGCGGGUAUUGACCCCUGCAGUGCCGCAGCUAACGCAUUAAGUACUCCGCCUGGGAAGUACGGUCGCAAGACUAAA